GGAGGGAGGGAGCGAGGGGGAGGGGGGAUAUUUUUUCUCAUGGAGGCAUCACGCGGUGAAAGCGGACGUAAACACCUUGCGUGAAGCAGUCGGCGGAGCGGACGACUUGGAUUACGCCGCCGCGUGCGCGUCCGCGGCGACUGCAAAUAAAUACAUUAGAGAGCGGGCCGUGUUUUUGGGUGCUGCUUUGCUUCCGGAAGGAGGCCGAGCUGAACGAGAAACCGGGCACUUUUCUCUCUCUCUCUCUCUCUCCCACACACUUUUUUUUUUUUUGGAAGCCGAACUUUUCGAGGGUGGAAAAUGCGUCUUUGAGAGGUGCUUGGCACAUUUCCCUCCACACCACAAUGGCAACCGAAACCUUUCUGUUGAACGAGGAACCCACCAGAGGCCCGGGGAUGCCUGAAUGCUUUGUAGUAUCAGAUUCAUACAGGGCAAAGCAAACAUCCACGCACACCUGGCAAAGCUUGGAGAGGCAAUCAUUUGGACACAAAGGACAAAGACUCCAGUAGGCCGCAGUUAAUUGGG
ensembl:lncRNA